AGCAGCCGCGGUAAUUCCAGCUCCAAUAGCGUAUAUUAAAGUUGCUGCAGUUAAAAAGCUCGUAGUUGAAUUUCGGGACUGAUAUGUCGGUCGUGCCUCGGUACGUACUGGUAUUUUUGGUUUCUCCCUUCUGACGAACCUUGAUGUCAUUAAUUUGGUGUCUUGGGGAAUCAGGACUGUUACUUUGAAAAAAUUAGAGUGUUUAAAGCAGGCUCACGCUUGAAUACAUUAGCAUGGAAUAAUGAAAUAGGACGUUUGAUUCUAUUUUGUUGGUUUCUAGGAUCGACGUAAUGAUUAAUAGGGAUAGUUGGGGGCAUUAGUAUUCAAUUGUCAGAGGUGAAAUUCUUGGAUUUAUUGAAGACUAACUACUGCGAAAGCAUUUUGCCAAGGAUGUUUUCAUUAAUCAAGAACGAAAGUUAGGGGAGUCGAAGACGAUCAGAUACCGUCGUAGUCUUAACC
rnacentral:rRNA from 1 species